ACUGCUCAGUAACACGUGGAUAACCUGCCCUUGGGUCCGGCAUAACCCCGGGAAACUGGGGAUAAUUCCGGAUAACGCACAUAUGCUGGAAUGCUUUUUGCGUAAAAUGGAUUCGUCUGCCCAAGGAUGGGUCUGCGGCCUAUCAGGUAGUAGUGGGUGUAAUGUACCUACUAGCCUACGACGGGUACGGGUUGUGAGAGCAAGAGCCCGGAGAUGGAUUCUGAGACAUGAAUCCAGGCCCUACGGGGCGCAGCAGGCGCGAAAACUUUACAAUGCGGGAAACCGUGAUAAGGGGACACCGAGUGCCAGCAUCAUAUGCUGGCUGUCCGGGUGUGUAAAAUACACCUGUUAGCAAGGGCCGGGCAAGACCGGUGCCAGCCGCCGCGGUAACACCGGCGGCCCGAGUGGUGAUCGUGAUUAUUGGGUCUAAAGGGUCCGUAGCCGGUUUGGUCAGUCCUCCGGGAAAUCUGAUAGCUCAACUAUUAGGCUUUCGGGGGAUACUGCCAGACUUGGAACCGGGAGAGGUAAGAGGUACUACAGGGGUAGGAGUGAAAUCUUGUAAUCCCUGUGGGACCACCUGUGGCGAAGGCGUCUUACCAGAACGGGUUCGACGGUGAGGGACGAAAGCUGGGGGCACGAACCGGAUUAGAUACCCGGGUAGUCCCAGCCGUAAACGAUGCUCGCUAGGUGUCAGGCAUGGCGCGACCGUGUCUGGUGCCGCAGGGAAGCCGUGAAGCGAGCCACCUGGGAAGUACGGCCGCAAGGCUGAAACUUAAAGGAAUUGGCGGGGGAGCAC
rnacentral:rRNA from 1 species